CCUACGGGGGCUGCAGUGGGGAAUAUUGGACAAUGGGCGAAAGCCUGAUCCAGCCAUGCCGCGUGUGUGAAGAAGGCCUUCGGGUUGUAAAGCACUUUCAGUGGGGAAGAAAGCCUUGGGGCUAAUACCCUCGAGGAAGGACAUCACCCACAGAAGAAGCACCGGCUAACUCCGUGCCAGCAGCCGCGGUAAUACGGAGGGUGCGAGCGUUAAUCGGAAUUACCGGGCGUAAAGCGCGCGUAGGCGGUCUGAUAAGCCGGUUGUGAAAGCCCCGGGCUCAACCUGGGAACGGCAUCCGGAACUGUCAGGCUAGAGUGCAGGAGAGGAAGGUAGAAUUCCCGGUGUAGCGGUGAAAUGCGUAGAGAUCGGGAGGAAUACCAGUGGCGAAGGCGGCCUUCUGGACUGACACUGACGCUGAGGUGCGAAAGCGUGGGUAGCAAACAGGAUUAGAUACCCGAGUAGUC
rnacentral:rRNA from 1 species